GGAUUUGCACAUCGGUCGUGCCUUAAGGGGUAUGAACUGGUGUAGUGAAUUUCUCACCUUCUGGAGAACCGUGAUGUCCUUAAUUGGGUGCCACGAGGAACCAGGACCUUUACUUUGAAAAAUUAGAGUGUUUAAAGCAGGCAUUUUGCUUGAAUACAUUAGCAUGGAAUAAUAAAAUAGGACGGCAUGAUUCUAUUUUGUUGGUUUCUAGGAUCACCGUAAUGAUUAAUAGGGAUAGUUGGG
rnacentral:rRNA from 2 species